GUGAGUUUGCAUAUAGAUCUAUACUGGAUUGACUAUCCUACACCUCGCUGCUAGCUACAGACGGACCGGCAGGUCUGCGGGUGCCAAACGUCAUACCUUAUUUUUCGACUAUACGUUGUCGUUAUUACCAAUCUAUAGUAUGGUGCAAUUUAUCACAUGAUACCUUAAUAUAAUUCCGGUUUAAGGUAGAUAGUACAACAGUAGUUAUUAUUAUUCAAUACUACAAGCACUACAUUAAUUUAUCCUUUAUAUACAUUUAGUGACUAUUUCACUUAAAUAUGUAUAAACUAUAUUUUGAUAAUGAUAGUUACACUUGGAAAAUUACCCACUUUUACGAUAAACAAACAUACAAAACAGUUACGCCUUGGGAGAAGGCUACUUUUAAAUAGAAAAUAUAGGUUUUUCUGAGAGAUUCAAACUUUUACAAACACUUACAUAAAUUUUACAAACUUACAAUGGAGACAUGUUCAAACGUUUUGAUAACAAAUCCCGACACUAAAAUACUUAUGAACUCACCAGCUUAAUACUGAUACUCGUUUUCAAAAUAACUUGUAUUCUCAGGUCAUCAGUAGACAGGUACCGAGGCCAGCUUUUAAGAAGAUGGAGCGCAUUCAGGACUCAUCUUUGUAUUUUGAUUAAGAAUUAGCCUUUAGUAUUUGGGCUUUUGGUAACGUUUGUCUGUAAAAUAUUCCUAGCUCUUAGUAUGGUAACUAGGAAUCUAGUAACUGUUAAACUUUUCCAUAUGGUAUGAUGUAAGACCUACUGUUAGGUCGAUUUUUUUUCCUGAACCCAUUACAUCAAUAAUACCAGGAAUAUUGACAGCUAGCUAAUCUGUGAGAAAAUCUUUAUACUUACGUUUUCCUAGGAUUCUUCCCUAUUGUGAAUUCAAUUCGUACACUCAUUCAACUGUUGGACUAUGGCUAUUUAGUCCAUGAGUCACUCUCAACUUGCUUACAAUUGAUUCUUACCAUUGUAUCUGUCUUUAUAAACUUAUAGCUGAAAGAUGCCUCCUCGCAAAUCUCCCCGGAAUACCCUGCACCUCCACCACCUCCUCCUCUAGUCAUCGAUACUACGGCUCUGAACGUUGCGGUAGCUGUGGCAGUGGCAACUGCCGUGGCUCAAUAUCACUCAACUAACAAUAGCCAAGGUGGAACCCCUAUUGAAUCCACUCAUACUGAGAUCCAUGUACGCACGAUAGAAUGCUCCUACAAGGAUUUCACCAACUGUAAGCCGAAGUCCUUUUAUGGAACCGGUGGAGUCAUUGCCCUCUCGCAAUGGUUCGAGAAGACUGAAUCAGUCUUCGAAAUUUGUUCAUUCCCUGCUGCGAGCAAAGUCAAAUAUGCCGCAUGCACCUUUGAAGGAAAGGCCCUGACGUGGUGGAACGGCCACGUUAAAGAUCUAACUCUCGUAGGAGCCAAUGACAUGGGCUGGGAAACAAUGAAAGACCUCAUGAUUGAGGAGUACUGCCCGAGGGGCGAAAUCUAGAAAUUGGAGCAAGAACUGUGGGGCCUAACCAUGAAGGGCUCCAACAUAGUCGCUUAUACCGUCAGGUGCAGUGACCUGGUGGCUCUCUGCCCCAAUAUGGUUCCCACUAAAGGGAAAAAGAUCGAAAGGUACAUCUGGGGGCUGGUGCCUCCAUACCAAGGAAAUUUUCUAUCAUCAAACCCCAUUACUUUCGACAGUGCCAAGCGGCUGGCACAGCGACUCAUCGACCAUGGAAUUCAAUCCCCAACAGCGACAACAACUCAAGCUGUCUCAGAACCCUCCAAACCCACUGACUCUAAGCGGAAGUUCUGGGAUGACAAGAAGAAGCAGCGAGCUGCAAAAAGCAGCAAAUUGUGGCUGUACAUGCUGCAAUAACCCCUGCUGCUGCUACUGCUCCAGUGGGACAGUAUGCUGGAAGUUUGCCCAAGUGCAACAAAUGCAACUACCACCACAAUCGCCCCUGCCAUGAAAUGCAGUGCUCUAACUGCCACAGGAAAGGACACACAGUCCGUUUCUGUAAAUCUCCGGCGAGACCGAUCGCCCAAGUCCCCAACUCAGGUGCGAGCCCAACCUGCUAUGGAUGUGGUGAAGCAAGCCACUACAAGAGGGACUGCCCCAAAGCAAAGAAUGCAGGUGGAUCGGGGAGAGUACUGGCAAUAAGCCAUGGGGAAGCAGUUGCUGACCCGACGGUGGUGACUGGUACGUUCCUUCUCGAUAACUCCUAUGCACGCAUUCUGUUCGAUAGUGGAGCGGAGCGAAGCUUCGUGAACCAUAAAUUUGCUCACAUACUUAAACAUCAACCGCAUGCACUUAAAGAACAAUUCACGGUCGAAAUGGCUAAUGGGAAAACUGAAAGCACCAGGAGUAUAUAUUUAGGAUGCAACCUAACUCUAGAUAACCAGUCAUUUCCAAUCGACCUCAUGCUGGUUUCAAUUAAAAGCUUCGAUGUUAUCAUCGGCAUGGAUUGGUUGAGUCUUCAUCACGCUGACAUCAUGUUCUUUGAGAAAGCAAUCCGUCUAAACCUCCCGUCUAACGAAACUCUUAUCGUCUACGGCGACAAACCCAGUACAAGUCUUCGUAUUAUCUCCAGUAUUGAAGCACAUAAAUAUCUACGUAAGGAAUAUCGUGCAUUCCUUGCUCACGUUGUCGAUACGAGCCUCGAAACGAAAGAACUAAAGAACAUCCCAGUAGUGAGCGACUUCCCCGACAUUUUCCCAGAAGAGCAACCAGGUUUACCUCCGCAAAGACAAAUCGAGUUCAUAAUCGACUUAAUUCCAGGAGCUACCCCAGUAGCUAAGUCGCCCUACCGAUUAGCACCAGCAGAGAUGCAAAAAUUAUCUGGUCAACUUAACGAACUGCUCAGCAAGGGCUUCAGAAGACCAAUCUUCUCUCCUUGGGGAGCACCAGUCUUGUUUGUUAAGAAGAAAGACGGAUCAUUCCGUAUGUGUAUUGAUUACAGGGAACUCAACAAACUGACGGUCAAAAAUCGUUACCCUCUGACUCGCAUAGACGAUCUAUGUGACCAACUGCAAGGGGCGAAUUAUUUUUCCAAAAUUGAUAUGAGAUUCGGAUAUCACCAGUUACGAGUGCUAGAGGUGGAUGUGCCGAAGACAGCCUUCCGAACUCGUUACGGACACUACGAGUUCGUGGUGAUGCCAUUCGGAUUGACCAAUGCGCCCGCAGUCUUCAUGGAUUUGAUGAAUAGAGUAUGCCGACCUUACUUGGAUCAGUUCGUUAUUGUCUUUAUUGACGACAUCCUGAUCUACUCCCGGAGUAAGGAAGAGCAUGGCAAUCACCUACGACAAGUUUUAAGAACUUUACGAACGGAGAAGCUCUAUGCGAAGUUCUCGAAAUGUGAAUUUUGGAUCCGAAGAGUCGAAUUCUUAGGACAUGUGGUAAGCGAAGAGGGAAUCCACGUGGAUCCAUCCAAAAUUAAGGCUAUUGAGAACUGGUCAGCACCAAAGACGCCUACAGAAAUUCGUCAAUUUCUAGGUCUUGCUGGCUACUACCGCAGAUUCAUACAGAACUUCUCCAGUAUUGCAAAACCUCUUACAACCCUGACCCGAAAGGCAUGGCUUUUGACUGGGAAGAGAAACAAGAGAGAGCAUUCCAAACGCUCAAGCGAGUCUUGUGCACUGCGCCAAUACUAUACCUCCCCGAAGGGAUAGAAGACUUCAUAGUCUAUUGCGAUGCAUCAAAUCAAGGGCUCGGGUGUGUUCUGAUGCAGCGAGGUAAGGUCAUCGCCUACGCCUCGAGACAGUUGAAGACACACGAGGUUAACUACACGACCCACGAUCUUGAACUAGGAGCAGUAGUGUUUGCUCUGAAGAUCUGGAGACAUUACUUGUACGGAACGAAAAGCACUAUCUUUACCGACCACAAGAGUUUACAACACAUUUUCGAUCAGAAGGAGCUCAACAUGAGACAACGACGGUGGGUCGAGCUACUCAGUGACUACGAAUGCGAUAUUCGUUAUCAUCCGGGUAAAGCCAACGUAGUAGCAGACGCCCUAAGUCGGAAGGAAUAUUCUGGUCGCAAAGUCAAGUCAUUAUCAAUAACCAUCCAUUCACACUUGACUAAGCAAAUUCAGGCGGCUCAACUUGAGGCCAUGAAACCUGAAAAUGUGUCGAGUGAAUCCCUUAGGGGAAUGGACAAGAACUUCGAAGCCAAGGGUGACGGAGCUUUAUAUUUCAUGAACCGGAUCUGGACACCGAAACACGGUGGUUUCCGAGACUUGGUCAUGACCGAGGCGCACAACACUCGGUAUUCCGUCCACCCAGGUUCGGAUAAGAUGUAUCUGGAUCUUAAAAAGCUAUACUGGUGGCCUAAUAUGAAAGCAGAGAUUGCUACCUUCGUAAGUAAAUGCCUUACUUGCGCAAAGGUCAAGGUCGAGUACCAAAAACCCUCUGGUUUACUGCAACAACCCGAGAUCCCAGAAUGGAAGUGGGAGCGGAUCACUAUGGAUUUCAUAACUAAGUUGCCCAAGACAACGGGUGGACUUGAUACCAUAUGGGUCAUCGUCGAUAGAUUGACCAAGUCUGCACACUUCCUACCUAUCAAGAAAACCGAUAAGAUGGAGAAACUUACGAGAACAUACAUUACGGAAAUUGUGUGACUACAUGGUGUUCCUAUAUCCAUUAUCUCCGAUAGAGAUAGUAGGUUCACCUCAAGAUUCUGGUAAUCACUACAACAUUCCCUGGGAACAAGGUUGGACAUGAGCACAGCCUACCAUCCACAGACCGGCGGACAAAGUGAGAGGACCAUCCAAACACUUUGAGAGCCUGUGUGAUUGACUUUGGAAAGGCAUGGGAUACUUAUUUACUCCUUGUCGAGUUUUCCUACAACAACAGUUAUCACACGAGCAUCAAGGCUGCCCCAUGUGAAGCCCUCUACGGCCGAAAGUGCAGAUCCCCUCUGUGUUGGGCUGAGGUGGGUGAUACCCAAUUAGCUAGGGGGCAAACUUCUGAUAGUACUCUUACAGGCCCGGAAAUCAUUCGGGAAACGACGGAGAAGAUCGUUCAGAUCCGCGAACGAUUGAAAGCCUCCAGAGACCGACAGAAAAGCUAUGCCGAUAAACGUAGAAAACUGUUGGAAUUCCAGGUGGGCGACCGCGUUUUAUUGAAGGUCUCACCCUGGAAGGGCUUGAUACGCUUCGGAAAGCAUGGAAAGCUAAAUCCAAGGUACAUUGGGCCUUUCGAGAUUCUCGCAAGAAUCGGCCCAGUGGCUUACAAACUCAAUCUACCGAACGAACUUCGUAACGUACAUUCUACCUUCCAUGUUUCCAAUUUGAAAAAGUGUCUAUCCGACGAGACUCUUGUAAUCCCACUCAACGAGAUCGAGAUCAACAAGAGCCUCAACUUCGUGGAAGAACCCGUUGAAUUCAUGGACCGUGAGGUCAAGCAGACGAAGCAAAGCCGUAUCUCGAUUGUGAAGGUUGCUGGAACGCCAAGCGCGGGCCAGAAUUCACUUGGGAACGCGAGGAUCAGAUGAAACUAAAAUAUCCUCAUGUUUUUACUUAGUUAUUUGUAAUAAUCUAGUAACUUAAACUCAAAUUUCGGGACGAAAUUCCCUUAACAGGGGGAUGAUGUGAUAACCCAAAAAACUUCUCGCGUGCAUUCUUCAAUUCUUUCCAAUUUUAGACUUAUUUUACUAUAUGGUAAUACCCUUUAGAGUCUAAUGAAGCGUUCUAAAUGUCAUAUAAUCAAGGUAGGAGUGUUAAGAAGGGUUAACUCGAAGUGUAGGAAUCACAACCGGGCCAAACACUCCAACACAUGGAGUGUGCGGCCAUACACUUGAGUGUGCGGCUACACACUCUUGUUUGCGGCCUCACACCUUCCCAACCGCACACUCCACAUAUAUAUGCCACACUUAGAUCAUUCUUGAACACUUCCUUCACUUCUUCAAGCAUAGAACACGAAAAUCCUCUCAAGUAUCAUCCAUUCUCCUUGAAGAUCUUCAUAAAAGGUACCAAGAACACCAAGAACACCAAGAUCAUCAUCUGGCCGCACACAUGGCAGCACACACCACCUAGCAGCACACAUGGCUGCACACAGGGCCGCACACAUGUGCUGGCAGCAGACUAGGCCGCACACCUGGCCGCACACCCUCUUGUAUUUUGGCCAUACACCCUCUUGUAUAGCCUUAUAAACCCUCAUACAAUCAUAUAUGAUUAUAACACUUCAUUAUAAGUGUUUACUAGUCCCUAAGGUGGUCCCAAAAUCAUCAAUUAGUUGUUCAUAACACUAAUUAAAUCCAUAUAUGUGCCAAUAUAUGCUAAAUAGGAUUCGCGCGUGUACUCAAGUCACCACUUGGCACCUAGCGUCUAAUCCAACAUUGUCAUCAGAACCACUCACUACAGGUGAGUUCAUACCCCUUUAAUUAACCUUUGAAAUACUUUUAAAUGUUUUAAAUACUUUUAUGGGGGGGGAUACAAGUUGAAUACUUAUAGUUAUUACAUCAAUCACAUGUGAUUAAUAACUAGAAAACCAAUGAUUUUAUCAUUGUUCAAACUGUUUAUCAAACUGCUUUACUUCAAAAUGUUUUACAAACUCUUUUACUUAUCAAAUACUUUUAUUUAAACCUUGUUAUACUUCUUAUAAAUUGCAUGCCCAUAUAUGUAUAGAUAUAUAAGCAAUGUUUAAAGGGCUUAGGAAGGCCAUCCACCCUAUUUCCUUUUUCUCGAUUUGGAUGUGGUCUGGUGGGAUGUCGGGUAGCCGUCCGAGGUUUGUUUCAAUAUUAAUUAUAUAUCACAUGUGUAUAUAUAGACAUAAAAGUACUUCCAUAUUCAUGCGUAUCAGUUACAUCAUUAGUAAGUUACCAUCGGGGUAACACAUGAUUUCACUUAUAAUAUUGGUAGAUCAAUGAGUCAGUUCAUCCAUGAGUCAAUACUUAUUGCUAUGCGAACAUAUACAAUACAUUACUAUGAGUACAUAUACAACUAUACUAGAAAGAGAACGUAUACAACUAUACUAGAAAGGGAACAUAUACGACUAUACUAGAAAGAGAACAUAUGCAACAAUACUAGGAUAAGUAAAAUUACAUUACAUAUACAUGAAUACGUUAACAAUUGUGAUCCACUGUAUGGGAGCAUGCCUUAAUUGUCAUGACUCGAGUGGUAACCAUAGUCUCUUGGGGGGAGGGCGUGAGUUUGUGUAUAGAUCUAUACUGGAUUGACUAUCCUACACCUCGCUGCUAGCUACAGCCGGACCGGCAGGUCUGCGGGUGCCAAACGUCAUACCUUAUUUUUCGACUAUACGUUGUCGUUAUUACCAGUUUAUAGUAUGGUGCAAUUUAUCACAUGAUACCUUAGUAUAAAUCCGGUUUAAGGUAGAUAGUACAACAGUAGUUAUUAUUAUACAAUACUACAAGUACU
rnacentral:lncRNA from 1 species